UACAGAGGGGGCAAGCGUUGUUCGGAAUUAUUGGGCGUAAAGAGCUCGUAGGCGGUGUGUCGCGUCGGCCGUGAAAACCUGCAGCUUAACUGUGGGCGUGCGGUCGAUACGGGCAUCACUGGAGUUCGGCAGGGGAGACUGGAAUUCCUGGUGUAGCGGUGAAAUGCGCAGAUAUCAGGAGGAACACCGGUGGCGAAGGCGGGUCUCUGGGCCGAUACUGACGCUGAGGAGCGAAAGCGUGGGGAGCGAACAGG
rnacentral:rRNA from 1 species